AGUGAACGCUGGCGGUAGGCCUAACACAUGCAAGUCGAACGGCAGCACAGUAAGAGCUUGCUCUUACGGGUGGCGAGUGGCGGACGGGUGAGGAAUACAUCGGAAUCUACUUUUUCGUGGGGGAUAACGUAGGGAAACUUACGCUAAUACCGCAUACGACCUACGGGUGAAAGCAGGGGAUCUUCGGACCUUGCGCGAUUGAAUGAGCCGAUGUCGGAUUAGCUAGUUGGCGGGGUAAAGGCCCACCAAGGCGACGAUCCGUAGCUGGUCUGAGAGGAUGAUCAGCCACACUGGAACUGGGACACGGCCCAGACUCCUACGGGAGGCAGCAGUGGGGAAUAUUGGACAAAGGGCGCAAGCCUGAUCCAGCCAUACCGCGUGGGUGAAGAAGGCCUUCGGGUUGUAAAGCCCUUUUGUUGGGAAAGAAAAGCAGCAGGUUAAUACCCCGCUGUUCUGACGGUACCCAAAGAAUAAGCACCGGCUAACUUCGUG
rnacentral:rRNA from 1 species